ensembl:lncRNA
AUGGAAAAUCCCAGUUCCCCUAUAGAAAAUCCCAGUUCCCCUAUGGAAAACCCCAGUUCCCCUAUAGAAAAUUCCAGAUUCCUGUGGACGAAGCUCCCGGAUCAGAGCCCAGGUGCGCCGCCCCCUCCCCUCGGAAGAACCCAGCGCCGCCAAACGCCUCCUGCUCCUCCUGCUGGCCGUGGUGGGCACCCAAAUCUACAACGCGCCGGGAGACGACGGCGCCGCCGGUUUGGGGACCAGAACGGACUUGGGGACAACUCUGGGGACAAAUUUGGGGACAAAUUUGACGACGAGGACAAUCCCAGUUCCGGAGGAGCCUCAAAUUCCGGCCUGGAACACCAACGGAACCGCGAGUGGCGCUUGUCCCGCUUUCCUGUGGGUGUCACCCCCUUUGUCACCAGCUGGGGGCGCCAGGACGCGCUGAGGGACGAUCCCAGAAUCCUCCUGGGUUAAUUAACGAGGUCGUUAAUUAACAAGGCCGUUAAUUACGGCGGAAGAGGCAGGAGAAGGCGGCGACGUCGGACGAGCCCAGUUUGGAACUGGGAGGACUGGGAAGAGGAGGAGCCAUUGACUGAGGAGGGUUGUUCCCAUUCCUUAAUUAAUUAGCUCAUUAAUUACCCCCUAAUUAGCUGGUUAAUUAAUGAGCAGCUCGUUAAUUAGCCCCCAGUUUUGGGAACAAACUGGAGGUUGAACGAUCCCAGUUUGGAACUGGGAGGACUGGGAAUGGGCGGAGCCAUGGAUUGAGGGAAGUUGUUCCCAUUCCCUAAUUAAUUAGCUCAUUAAUUACCCCCUAAUUAGCUGGUUAAUUAACGAGCAGCUCAUUAAUUAGCCCCCAAAGUUGACUGGUUAAUGGUGGGACCAGUCCCAGUUGGGAACUGGAAGCACUGGGAAAGGGGGCGUGGUCAGGAUGGGCCUCAUUAACGAGGUUUAAUUAACGAGGUUUGAAUUAUUUAUUAUUUAUUUAUUUAUUAUUUAUUCGUUAUUUAUUGCUAUUUAUGAAUAUUUAAUUAUUUAUUUGCUGUUUGUGAGCAUUUGUUUAUUUAUUUGUUAUAAUUUAUUGAAUAAAUAUUUAUUAAUUAAUUAAUUUAAUUAAUUUUCUCUGGAUGAUUCCUUUCCCAAUUUCCCGUGGUCUGGAAGGUGAACUGGGAGCACUGGUUUGUACUGGGAGCACUGGGAAUCAUCCCAGUUUAUCCCAGUCCCAUCCCAGUAUCCCCAGUAACUCCCAGUAUUAUUUUGGGGUAAAUUAAUAAUUUUGGGGUAAAAUAAAGGAAUAAAAAUCCCAAAUUUUUGGUAUUUUCAACACAAAUAUUUUUAUUUUAUUUUUUUUAUUUACGGAUUUUUAUUGAAAAUACAAAGUCACAAAAGUAACAAAAAACUAAAAAAAAAAAUUUACAUUAUUUCCUAAAAAAAAAAAAAAAGUUAAAAAACGCCAGAAAAUCCAAAAUAAAAUUGAAAAUAAAAUCCAAAAUAAAAUCCAAUCCUUCCUCCCAAACUCACAUUUGCAUUCAGGACCCAAAUUUGGGAAUUUUUUUCCCAAAUUCCGUUUUUUUUUCCUCUAAAUUUUUAUUUUUCCCCAAAUUUUGAGGAUUUUUCCCCAAAUUUUGAGGAUUUUUUCCCCCAAAUUUUGAGGAUUUUUUCCCCAAAUUCUGAUUUUUUCCCCCAAAUUUUGAGAAUUUUUUUCCCCAAAUUUUGAGGAUUUUUCCCAAAUUUGGAGGAUUUUUCCCCCCUUAAUUCCAAGGCUUUUCCCAAAUUUUAAAGAUUUUUUUUCCCACAACUUUUCAGGGCUUUUUUCAUGGAAUUUUAAUUUUUUUUCCCCAAAUUUUCAGAUGAUUUCCCCAAUUUUUGGAUUUUUUCCCCCCAAUUUUUGGGGGAUUUUUGCCCAAAUUUUGGGAAUUUUUUCCCAAAUUUUGGGAGUUUUUUCCCAAAUUUUUGGGCUUUUAUCCCAAAAUUUUGUGGUUUUUCCCAAAUAUUUGCGAUUUUCUCCCGAAAUUUCGGAAUCCACGCGUUGGGAAGAGCCCCCAGUGUUGGGUUUGGCCAAUCCCAGUUGGGCACUGGGAGCACUGGGAGCACUGGGAACUCACCAGAACCACGGAAUGCUGGGAAGUCCUCAUCUCCCCACUUAAUUAAUGAACAAAUUCAUCCCUAAUUAAUUAGAGAUCGUUAAUUAGCCCCCAAAUUUGAAUGGGAACAAAUGGAAACCAAACUCAACGUUGGGUCUUGGGGUUGGCCAAUCCCAGUUGGGCACUGGGAGCACUGGGAACGCCGGGAACUCACCGGAACCACGGAAUGCUGGGAAUUCCUCAUCUCCCCAAUUAAUUAAUGAAUGAAUCCAUCCCUAAUUAAUUAGAGAUCAUUAAUUGGGCAAUAAAUUUGAAUGAGAAAAAUGGAGACCAACCAAACGUUGGGUCUUGGGGUUGACCAAUCCCAGUUGGGCACUGGGAGCACUGGGAGCACUGGGAACUUGCCGAAACCAUGGAAUGCUGGGAAUCCCUCAUCUCCCAACUUCAUUAAUGAAUGAAUCCAUCCCUAAUUAAUUAGAGAUUGUUAAUUAGCCACCAAAUUUGAAUGGGAAGAAAUGGAGACCAAACUCAACAUUGAGUUUUGGGUUGGCCAAUCCCAGAUGGGCACUGGGAACACCGGGAACUCACUGGAACCAUGGAAUGCUGGGAAUCCCUAAUCUCCCAACUUAAUUAAUGAACAA